AGAUUGAACGCUGGCGGCAGGCUUACACAUGCAAGUCGAGCGGGGAAGAGUAGCUUGCUACUUUACCUAGCGGCGGACGGGUGAGUAAUGCUUAGGAAUCUGCCUAUUAGUGGGGGACAACAUCUCGAAAGGGAUGCUAAUACCGCAUACGUCCUACGGGAGAAAGCAGGGGACCUUCGGGCCUUGCGCUAAUAGAUGAGCCUAAGUCGGAUUAGCUAGUUGGUGGGGUAAAGGCCUACCAAGGCGACGAUCUGUAGCGGGUCUGAGAGGAUGAUCCGCCACACUGGGACUGAGACACGGCCCAGACUCCUACGGGAGGCAGCAGUGGGGAAUAUUGGACAAUGGGGGGAACCCUGAUCCAGCCAUGCCGCGUGUGUGAAGAAGGCCUUUUGGUUGUAAAGCACUUUAAGCGAGGAGGAGGCUACCGAGAUUAAUACUCUUGGAUAGUGGACGUUACUCGCAGAAUAAGCACCGGCUAACUCUGUGCCAGCAGCCGCGGUAAUACAGAGGGUGCAAGCGUUAAUCGGAUUUACUGGGCGUAAAGCGCGCGUAGGUGGCCAAUUAAGUCAAAUGUGAAAUCCCCGAGCUUAACUUGGGAAUUGCAUUCGAUACUGGUUGGCUAGAGUAUGGGAGAGGAUGGUAGAAUUCCAGGUGUAGCGGUGAAAUGCGUAGAGAUCUGGAGGAAUACCGAUGGCGAAGGCAGCCAUCUGGCCUAAUACUGACACUGAGGUGCGAAAGCAUGGGGAGCAAACAGGAUUAGAUACC
rnacentral:rRNA from 1 species